CACGGGGGGAGCAAGCGUUGUUCGGAAUCACUGGGCGUAAAGGGCGUGUAGGCGGUCAAGUAAGUGGGAUGUGAAAUGCCCCGGCUCACCCGGGGACCUGCAUCCCAAACUGCUUGGCUUGAGUAUGGGAGAGGAUGAGGGAAUUCCUGGUGUAGCGGUGAAAUGCGUAGAUAUCAGGAGGAACACCGGUGGCGAAAGCGCUCAUCUGGCCCAAUACUGACGCUGAGGCGCGAAAGCUAGGGGAGCAAACGGGAUUAGAUACCCCCGUAGUCC
rnacentral:rRNA from 1 species